GCUAAGGAAGACUGCUUUUGCAGUUAAACAUGUUUUUGUUGAACAGGAUGUAUACUCUGGUCCCAGGGUUUAGGUGGUAAUUUUCCAGUCCAGUCAUCUGAGGUGGUGGCUGGUAGAAAAUGGCAGGUCUUUGGUUAACAUUUCAGUCUGUUCUCCUUAAAAAAAAAAAAAAAAAAGAGAGAAAGAGAAUUGGGGACAGGGAGGUGUCUGGGUGGCUCAGUCGCUAAGUGCCUGCCUUUAGUUCAGGUCAUGAUCCCAGGGUCCUGGGAUGGAGCCCCACAUGGAGCUCCACAUCAGGCUCCCUGAUUUGUGAGGAGUCUGCUUCUCCCUCUCCCACUCCCCCGCUUGUGUUCCCUCUCUCCCUGUGUCUCUUUCUCUGUCAAAUAAAUAAAAUCUUAAAAAAAAAGAAAGAUGGGGGAUUGGGUUGUUGAGGGCAAUGUGAAUCAUCCGCUGCUUCCUGCUGAGUGGAGAUGUUGAGGUUAUGGUGUUUUUCUGGCUUAGAUGAUAUCUUAUUUGGCACAGGAAGAAGAUGAUGACCGUGUGUUUUAGGUAGCUGGUAAAAGAAAUUUAGUUCUUGGUAGAUAAGCUAGAUAGGACAUUAAGUAUUCAACAAAGUCGAAACAACAGAAUUAUGCCAAAAAAGGCAAGAGGGUCCAAUAGCCAAUAGAGGGCCAUAGCCACUGUUGGCCAUAAAGUAAGUCCCAUCAUUCAUGAACCCAUUCCAUUGAGGUGAAGAUGUUUUUUAAAUAACUCAGUCAAGGACAAGAACCCAUCCAGAUAUAUUUCACCCAAAAAUGUGCCUCACCUGAAAAUGUGCUUGAUGGUGGAAUGCCUGAAGGCUGGUCACCCAGUGGCUUUUCACCUGAAACUUGUUCACUUGAAGCCUGCUCACCUGAAGCUUGUUCACUUGAAGCCUGUUCACCAGAAGGCUUCUCACUGGAAGCUUGUUCACCUGAAGGCUUUUCAGUUGAAACCUGUUCACCUGAAGCCUGUUCACCUGAAAGUUUUUCGCCGGAAGGCUGUUCACUGGAAGGCUUUUCACCUGAAGACUGUUCGCCGGAAGGCUGUUCAACUGAAGGCUUUUCACCUGAAGACUGUUCAACUGAAGGUUCACCAGAAGUGUGCUCUCCUGAAGCACGUUCACCUGAAGUGUGUUCACCCGUAGCAUGCUCACCUGAAGUGUGUUCACCUGAAGUGUGUUCACUCGAAGUGUGCUCACUGGAAGUAUGUUCAGCUGAAGUGUGCUCACCUGAAGAGUGCUCACUUAAAGUGCUCUCGCCUGCAGAAGUCUCAUAUAAAGCCUCACCAUCUGAAGGGUUUCCAAGUGAAACGUACUCACCUGAAAAUUGCUGAACUGAAGCUUGAUGAUCCAUGGAGCCAGGAGGCUCAUCAGGCUGACCUGAUGCUCCUGGGGUGGAGAAGAAACAAGAGAGACAGUGAAGGCGAGAGAAAGAACGGGAUAAGGACUGCUUUGCUUAUGCAAUAAGGCUAACGUGGGAUUCCUGGGUUUCCUGUAGGCCUGCUCAGGGAUCUGAAGAUAUUGCAGAUGUUGGAGGAAAUCAACUAAUUACUCGAAAAGACCAUGAAGGUCAGAGGCGUUAAUGAAACACACAGAGACUGCCUCUGGCACUUAAAGGAAGAAUUUUAAGAUCCACGUUAUUUAUUUUUUUUAAGACUUUAUUUGUCAGAUUGAGAGAGAGAGAGAGAAUGAAAGCGCCCAAGUAGGGAGAGCAGCAGGCCGAGGGAGAAGCAGGCUCCCCACUGAGCAGGGAAGGGACUCAGUCCCAGCACCCCAGGAUCAUGACAUGAACCAAAGACAGACACUUAACCGACUGAGCCACCCAGGCAUCCCUGAGAUCCACAUUAUUAAGAAAUGUAGAGGGGGGUCCCCUAGCCCAUGUACCAAAAGCACCCAAAGGGAAAAUUGUGUGCCUCCCUGACAAAGAUAGCAUCAGGAAAUCACUGUGCCAUCAAUCACAUUAUCAGAAGUCUACCACCAGCCCUCCCUCCCGUUUCUUUCUGGGUGAAAGUCAGGAAGGAUGAAAAUACAAAAGGGAAAGAGAAAGCAACUCGGUUCAAUAAGAAAAAUGAGGGAAUAUAACCCAUGAAAGAGGACCCUGCAAGAGGAAAUACAGACAGCUGGAUGGAUAGAACAUGGCCAUGACAGAGAGGCUUGUAAGGUCUCUGGCCCAUAGCCCUGCUGUGUUCUGAGAUGGCUUUCUGGGUACAUCACAUUCCCAUCUCCUUACAUCUUUCCUUGCUACAUUAACUACACAAGGAUCCCUUGCACUCCAUUCAUUGGGACAAACAUUCAUUGUACUUUCACAAAACCCUUAGACCUGUUUUCUGAUCUCACAGAGCAUCAGGUACAAAAGAUGAGUGACUGAAAGAAGUAGUAGGAAUGAGACUGUGCCCAACGGGCUUCUCUGAUGGCAAAGCCAUUACUAGGAGGAAUCAACUGGCUUGGGAGCUCUCAGAGUUGAACUGGUUUAGCUAUUCUUGAUUCUGAGUCAGAUUGAUUUAGAUAACUAAUAUUCUGGUCUUCCUUCUUCAAGGGCUAAAAGACGUGAAAGAAUUCUCCCAGAGCCAAGAUAGGGGACUCACCUCUGGGACAUCCAAUUAGAUAAAGACUCAUUAGUAAGAGAAACUUCUUCAUCUGGAUUUUGGGAAAGAGGAGACCCUGGCGUAGGGCACCCAAGAGUUGUGAAGGAAAACUGUGAGCAGAAGCUCCCAAUGCUAAGUUACAGCUCCUGGGAAUUCUAGAACCUUAGAGACCACCCAUGUGCCUCACAAUGGGUUGAGCUCUGAGGUUCUCAUGCAGGCUGUUCAGGCAGGAAUGGCUUUCUAACAACUCAGGGCAAAUGAUGCCACUGAAGGCUAAUUUGCCAAGUAUAACAUGGUGUAUUGGGGCUCUUUGCCCUAUCUUAAAAAAAAAAUCCUAUUACCAAAAUAAUAUUCUUUUUGUAAUAAAUUUUUAAAGCUAUUCUCUUUUUGAAAUGUUCUUGACAGCGAGCUGUGAUUGCCUGAUUAUUUUGUGUUCGGCUCUUUGAAUCAGCAUCCCCCACCCUGUUUUGUUUUGUUUUGGUUUUGUUGUUGUUGUUGUUUUUUUUUUUUUAAAGAUUUUAUUUAUUUAUUUGACACAGAGAGAGAGAUCACAAAUAGGCAGAGAGUCAGGCAGAGAGAGAGGGGGAAGCAGGCUCUCUGCUCAGCAGGGAUGCUGAGGCAGAUGCGGGGCUCGAUCCCAGGGCCCUGAGAUCAUGAAUCCCAGGACCCUGAGAUCAUGACCUGAGCUGAAAGCAGCAGCUUAAUCCACUGAACCACCCAGGCGCCUCUUUUUUUGGGGCCUGUAAACUAGUCUCUCUUGACCUGAUCACCUGAAAGCUGGUUGUGUUUGGCUUCAGACUGCAUUUAGCCAGUGGAAGAUUUGAGGGGGAAACACACACACACACACACACACAGAUUGAGAUCAAAAUACUUAUUCUAUAUUUAUUCUUCUUCCUUUCCUGCCAUGGUUUUGACACCGGUUGGAUCUUGACAUGACAAAGCUGUUCUUGGGUGUCCUAUCUUUUAUGGCUCCUGCUCUCAACCAGGCUAUGGUAACAUGUUUUGACAGGAAACAAGUGGCAAAUAUAGGCCCAGAAAAGGGAUCAACAAGGAAUUGUUGAAAGCUGUGCCUUGAGUUAUAAUUUCUCUCUCGCUGUGGAUGCAGCGAGGCAUCCACCUGGUGGAAAGCUAGAACUGUGGGGGGUUGGGUGGCAGAGAGCUCUUGGCCCUCACCUCCUACUUCUUCCCUGCCCACCUCUGCUGGACCACUUCGUUAUAUGUAGUACUGAAUGCUGGAUCCGGUACAGCUGCAUUUAUCACUCUUACAAUUAUGGGUUUAAUAUUUAUCUCUUCCAUUGGUCUUAAGCUCCUUGAAAGCAGGGUCCCUGUCUGUGUCUUUUUCUUUUCCCCUGUCUGUCUUGAUCGCUAAAGUACCCCCACUACCUAGUAGCAGUUUUGCCACAUAAUACAUACUUAAUAAAUGCUUUGUGAAUGAA